rnacentral:tRNA from 1 species
GCCUUCGUGGUGUAACGGUAGAACACUCGGUGCGUAUUCGAGAAGGUCUAGGUUCGAAUCCCGGUGAGGGCA